CUACGGAGGGUGCGAGCGUUAAUCGGAAUUACUGGGCGUAAAGCGUACGUAGGCGGUUGGUUAAGUUAGAUGUGAAAGCCCCGGGCUUAACCUGGGAACUGCAUUUAAAACUGGCGAACUAGAGUUGAGUAGAGGGGAGUAGAAUUUCAGGUGUAGCGGUGAAAUGCGUAGAGAUCUGAAGGAACACCAGUGGCGAAGGCGACUCCCUGGACUCGAACUGACGCUGAGGUACGAAAGCGUGGGUAGCAAACGGGAUUAGAAACCCUAGUAGUCC
rnacentral:rRNA from 1 species